rnacentral:misc_RNA from 1 species
GACAGAGAGUGCUAGCGUUGUUCGGAAUGACUGGGCGUAAAGGGCGCGUAGGCGGAUAUAUUAGUCAAGCGUGAAAGCCCCGGGCUUAACCUGGGAACUGCGCAUGAAACGGUAUAACUGGAGGACGAGAGAGGAAAGUGGAAUUCCUAGUGUAGAGGUGAAAUUCGUAGAUAUUAGGAGGAACAUCAGAGGCGAAGGCGGCUUUCUGGCUCGUAACUGACGCUGAGGCGCGAAAGCGUGGGGAGCAAACAGG